CCUUCUCUUCCCUGCCCGCCCCUUCCCCGGAGCGUGUCCGCAGGCGGAGAGAGGCUCUGCUGGGUCUCGCCGUGAGAUUUUUGCUCGAACACAGAAAGGUUAACAGGCUCCAGCAGAAAUGAGACUCAUCAUCUGCAACUUCUGCCACAUGGGAUCUCAGAGAACAGGGAAGAUGACAGGCAAAGAGAAAAAAGAAGAAAGGUGUUGACAUGGCCAGGAGAAUUGACAUGGCUGGAGUGCUGGGGUUAAACAGGAGAAUGGCAGUAGCAUCAAGGAUUGAAUCACAGGAUCACAGCUCUCAUGAGAAUAUAUUGGAGGCUCCAAGACAUAGACAGCAUCUGAAGUUUCUACAGCACUGAGAAAUUGUAUGAUGGGCUCCACCACCACGCUUUGUGGAUGUCCCCGGCCACCUCUACUCCUCUAGAAAAGACACGGACAGCCCAUGCCAGCAGGAAAGAAAUGAUGACCAAAAUUAAUCUGGAGCAUAAUAGAUGUGCACUGAAAAACUGCUGACCCUUUCUUCAAAACUGACACCAUUUUCAGGGUGAGCAUUUUUUUCCCAGAAGCUACAAGUAAGAAGGAAUUUUAAUAACUGUAGAACAAAAGUAGAUAAAAUAAACAAAAACAAAUGGCAAGAUAUUCUAUGUGGCAGUUUUGAGCUUCCCUGCACUUGUUUUUAUUAUGUCAGAGUGAUUAUGUAUUUUAGAUAUACAGAAGGACUAAGAAGUUCAAUGCAAGAAAAACUUUGAUUCCACCAAGACUCACUCAGAAGCACAGUUUUAAGGAUGUAAGUAAUCCUACUGAUUGUGACAAGACCUUGGAAUUCAAUGGGACAGCACUCAUGCUUAAAAGAUCAGUAAUGUGUGAAAAAUUCAGGAUGUGUGGAGCCUGAAUGAAGGUUUUCCCCCUCAAAGCAAAUGAAGACCCACUCUUCACUCGCUGCAGCCCAACUCUAAACCCCACAGUCAGAACUACUGCCCAACACCAUGUGACAUCACAGCAUGUCUCUGUACUUAGAAAGUACAGAGGUGGCUUUUUAUUCUGGGGAAUGAUCACAACUGUGUCAUUCUCCACAAGUGUAAUUAUCUUGCUAUUAAGAGUAACAUGUCAUUUUUCAAAAAUCCAGCAGCUUUAGAUACAGAUUGUUAGCCCUCUCUCAUAUCUUCCAAUGCUUAGCACAGGAUAUAAUAAAUGCAAGAAAAACACCCUACCUAACAGUGGUUGUGUCCACAUGUGACCCAAGGGAACCACCAGUGCACAAUCCACCACCAGCACUGACAGGCUCCUCUGUAACCUCCAUCAAGCCACCAGGAUCAAGGCAGGCUCCAGCUUUACCUCUUAGUAUGGUGUAUUGUAUUUUAAAUACUUCUUCUCAUUAUAAUGUGGAUGAUCCUAUGGGGACACUGCAACAAGGACACAGCCUAGGUCAGUGUCCUUCCACUUUCUAGGUGUCUCCCUAGUGACUGCCAGGGGCAGUAUCAUUUGCCACACCAGAACAGGGGCUGGCCCAUAAGCUGAGGAGGCCCCAGGACACUCACUGCUGAUACAGCAAGACCUGCACACUGAUCUGUUGAAACAACUAGGAAAACCCCAUAAUUUGCCAUCAUUAACCCCAACUUGCCUCUUGAGAAGAAUAGCCUCACAUGUGCUAAGGAGGUUUUGUUAAUUAUGCAUGCAGGAUUUGUUUUCCAGUGUAAUUGAUUUUCUUCCGCAGUUCACAUUAAAAUGUCUUCUGUUCUGACAAGGAGCACAACAUCAUGCAACACCCAUGCCCUGCUUAAUUACAUCAGAAGAACAAGAAAAAGACCAGAAAAGUGAAUUAAGUGAUAGCAUCUCUGCUCUUUACAGCCCUACCCCACCUCUAUCCUUUCAUAAAGUGUUUUUAAGUUAAAUUUGUUUGCUUUAAGAAUCUGAAUGACUGUGGUCUUUAAAUGUGACAGAAGAGAGAGGUGCUGGAAGUAGAUUACAAGAGCACAGCACUGGUGAUUCAACUAGACUUUUUUUGUAUUUGCUGCUUCAAACACAACUUUAUGGAUUAUCACUAGAAGUCUGGUAAUGAGCUGGCUACAAUGAAAAUUUAAUAUAGCUACCAUAUACACAUCAAUAGUCAAAGAUGUGCCCAUGCACAACGCUGAAAAUUCAGUGCCCUGAGGGAUUCAAAGUAAGAGCCAGUGCACUGUGGCAUCAUAACUUCUAUGAAAAUGAUCAAUGUUUUAAAUAUGACCUACAAUUGUUAAGGAAAGGAAUGGAAUUAAAUAUAUAAUGAGAAAGCAAUGUUUUAACAUUAAUAAAUAAAAAUAAUACUGCCAAACUACA